rnacentral:tRNA from 1 species
GGUCCCGUAACUCAGUUGGUUAGAGCGUUGGUUUUAUGCACCGAAGGUUGCGAGUACGAGCCUCACUGAGAACA